AUCUUUUGCGUUCAUAAAAGAGUAGGCGAGAAUUGCAAUAACUCUCGCGAGAUUCAGUUGUACGUAUACUUAAUUUGCGUUCUAAUAUGCCUACUCACCUACUAUAUAGUAGGGAAAAAGAGUAUGUGAAGAAAGAAGUACGUUCGAAACCUUGAACCAUAAAACAGUAGGCGAGAAAUCCCCGGAUGUCCUACUGCUUGAGCCAAGAUUCUGAAGGGCUCAUCAAGGGAUACUUUUCAAUCCCAGAAUGCCACGCAAAAGGGAUAAAUCGUCAUCGAACGUGAAGGAGAGCAGCGUAAAGGGUGUUUACAAAGGGACAGAUGAGACAGACAUGUGUUUAUCUGCUGCAGAGAGACUGAUGAAGAAAUGCUGCCAUCAAAGGCUCUCAAUCUUUUGUGGUGGAACAGGUGACAGCAGCAUCUGUGGAAAAAAAACCUGAAAGCAAAAUAUAAAGAUCUGAAAUGUCUGCAGACUGCUGUGUGAACUGAGGAUGGAGAAGAUGGAGUGCAAUGGAUGAAAUGCUCCAUCACUGCAUCUCCUCUUGUUUUCUCAUCAGGACCAGAUGUUGCUGUGGUCUCUUCAUCUUCAGUGACCCCAGAGCCAGCGAGAACAUCUAGAGAAAGACCAAAAGACACUGCUGACCAGUCCAGUUCACUAAAUAACAGAAAUAAUGAAGCUUUAUCAAAUUAACAUGCAAUUGUAAAAAUAUAUAUAAAAUUUAAUUCAGCAAUAAAUAGAAUCUUGACAACAUGAUAUAAAGUGUUUUACUUUGUGUAAGUGUAUUCCAGGUCGUGGUGCUCAUGGUGAGCAGACACAGCAGCAGUCAGAUCGUCCAGCACAUGUUCUCCUGCUCUUGUUCAGGGUCUUCAUCAUGGUGUUCCUCAUCCUCUCUGCACUUAGACAAGGACUCGAUGUCCCUCUCUCAUCAUGAUCAGAUUCAGAUUGUCCCGCACAUGUUCUCCUGCUCUUGUUCAGGGUUGUGUGGUUCAGGGUCUUCAUCAUGGUCUUCUUCAUCCUCUCUGUGCACUCAGACAAGGACUCGAUGUCCCUCUCUCAUCAUGAUCAGAUUCAGUCUGGCUGCAGCAGUGAGGGAUGUGGGAUGGACGGAUGUGGGUUCACCAUCUGUAAACAUUCAAAUACAGAACAAUGUCUGAAUAAAGUAUUGUUUCAUGUGUUGUUGACUUGAUUUUAUUUAUUGUGACGGUUACUUUUAUUUAUUAUUUUACUUGUUUAUUCAUGUCUCCUGUUGUUGUCAGUAAAUAAAAUAUAGCCUAAUUGUUUCAUUAACACAUACAU